AAAGUCGUAACAAGGUAACCGUAGGUGAACCUGCGGUUGGAUCAUUAAAAAAUAUUUGGUCUCGUGCCAAAUCAACACUUGUGUGCACCAUUGUCUGUCCUUGGUAGUUCGAGUGCCUCCAGCGGAUUCAACACCCUGGGCGCCUACCCUGCCGAAAGAGUUAACCCUCCUGAGGUUGGGUUGGGCUACCGCAUUUUUUUGAUAAACAUUGUACUAAUAUUUUUCAGUCUGAACGAAGAGUUGAUCUUUAUUGAUUAAUGAUUUGAAUACAACUUUUGACAACGGAUCUCUUGGCUCUC
rnacentral:misc_RNA from 1 species